GGGCCCAAUGGGAGUUCCGGGUCGUGACACUAUUUCAAUAUAAAAUAACAUUUUCAAGAUAAAAGAUAAAAGGAAAUCAAGCUGCUGACUAUUUGGCAAAUUGAGGUCAUACUCAUCAAGAUCUCCAAGUCUUCUCACAAGCGCAAGGUGAGCUCUAAGGUAUCCUGCGACUAGAGAAAACAAAUUUACCUUAUGUUAGAUUUAAAUAAAUGCAAAGGAGUAGUACUCCUAAUUUAUUUUU